rnacentral:rRNA from 1 species
UGCCUAAUACAUGCAAGUCGAGCGGACCGACGGGAGCUUGCUCCCUUAGGUCAGCGGCGGACGGGUGAGUAACACGUGGGUAACCUGCCUGUAAGACUGGGAUAACUCCGGGAAACCGGGGCUAAUACCGGAUGCUUGAUUGAACCGCAUGGUUCAAUCAUAAAAGGUGGCUUUCAGCUACCACUUACAGAUGGACCCGCGGCGCAUUAGCUAGUUGGUGAGGUAACGGCUCACCAAGGCGACGAUGCGUAGCCGACCUGAGAGGGUGAUCGGCCACACUGGGACUGAGACACGGCCCAGACUCCUACGGGAGGCAGCAGUAGGGAAUCUUCCGCAAUGGACGAAAGUCUGACGGAGCAACGCCGCGUGAGUGAUGAAGGUUUUCGGAUCGUAAAACUCUGUUGUUAGGGAAGAACAAGUACCGUUCGAAUAGGGCGGCACCUUGACGGUACCUAACCAGAAAGCCACGGCUAACUACGUGCCAGCAGCCGCGGUAAUACGUAGGUGGCAAGCGUUGUCCGGAAUUAUUGGGCGUAAAGCGCGCGCAGGCGGUUUCUUAAGUCUGAUGUGAAAGCCCCCGGCUCAACCGGGGAGGGUCAUUGGAAACUGGGGAACUUGAGUGCAGAAGAGGAGAGUGGAAUUCCACGUGUAGCGGUGAAAUGCGUAGAGAUGUGGAGGAACACCAGUGGCGAAGGCGACUCUCUGGUCUGUA